GUUUUAAGUACAUAUUAAUAAUGAUAAUAUGUAUAAAAGUCUUGACCAAUUACGUGCCAGCAGUCGCGGUAAUACGUAGGAGACGAGCAUUAUUCAUUUUAAAUAGGUUUAAAGGGUACCCAAACGGUCAAUAUAUCUUAAAUAAGAAGCACUUGACUAGAGUUAUAUGUAAGAAGACCGUACUUGAGGUGGAGAGAUUAUAUCCAAUGAUACCAAAGGGACUGGUGACGGCGAAGGCUGUCUUUUAUGUAAUAACUGACGUUGGAGGACGAAGGUUUAGAGCACUAACAGGAUUUGACACCCUAGUAGUCUUUACAGACAAUGAUGAAUGCCAUCAACUAGAUAAUAAUUUAGUUUUUAUAAAUGAAAAUGAAAGCAUUUCACCUCAAGAGUAAUGUGGCAACGC
rnacentral:rRNA from 2 species